rnacentral:sRNA from 2 species
CAAGCGGCAGCGCUGAAUUCCUCCUGCGGAGGAAACGGGGGACCCAACUCUCGGGGUGAAACGACAUCCGUCGUGGGGCGCCUUUCCGCCCUAACCCGUCAGCUAACCUCGUAAGCGCACGGAAAGGGGACGA